rnacentral:rRNA from 1 species
AUUGAACGCUGGCGGCAGGCCUAACACAUGCAAGUCGAGCGGCAGCGGGAAGGUAGCUUGCUACUUUUGCCGGCGAGCGGCGGACGGGUGAGUAAUGCCUGGGAAAUUGCCCAGUCGAGGGGGAUAACAGUUGGGAACGACUGCUAAUACCGCAUACGCCCUACGGGGGAAAGCAGGGGACCUUCGGGCCUUGCGCGAUUGGAUAUGCCCAGGUGGGAUUAGCUAGUUGGUGAGGUAAUGGCUCACCAAGGCGACGAUCCCUAGCUGGUCUGAGAGGAUGAUCAGCCACACUGGAACUGAGACACGGUCCAGACUCCUACGGGAGGCAGCAGUGGGGAAUAUUGCACAAUGGGGGAAACACUGAUGCAGCCAUGCCGCGUGUGUGAAGAAGGCCUUCGGGUUGUAAAGCACUUUCAGCGAGGAGGAAAGGUUGAUGCCUAAUACGUAUCAACUGUGACGUUACUCGCAGAAGAAGCACCGGCUAACUCCGUGCCAGCCGCCGCGGUAACAC